ensembl:lncRNA
UUCUGCUCAUCAAGGAUGCAUUUAUUUGAUCAGAAAUACAGAAAAAAAAACAGUAAUGUGAAAUAUUAUUGCAAUUUAAAAUAAUGGAUUUCUAUUUUAAUAUACUUAAAAAUAUAAUUUAUUCUUGUGAUGCUAAGCUGAAUGUUCUUCAGCGUCAUUACUCCAGUCUUCAGUGUCACAUCAUCCUUCAGAAAUCAUUCUUAAAUGCUGAUUUAUUACAGUUUUGCUGCUUAAUGUUUUUUUGGAACCUGUGAUACUUUUUUCAGGAUUCUUUGAUAAAUAAAAACUUAAAAGGAACAUCAUUUAUUCAAAAUAGAAAUCUUUUGUUACAAUAUACACUAUCAUUCAAAAGUUUUCAAAGGUAUUUUUUUUCUUUUUGAAAUAAAUUUAUGCUUUUAUUCAACAAGGAUGUGUUAAAUUGAUAAAGAGUGAUAAUGAAGACUUACACUGUUGGAAAGGAUUUUAAAUAAACGCUGUUCUUUUUAACAUUAUUCAUCAAAGAAUCCUGUAUCAAAAAAGUAUCACAGGUUCCAAAAACUGCAGCACAACUGUUUCCAACAUUGAUAAUAAAUCAGCAUAUUGGAAUGUUUUCUGAGGGAUCAAGUGACACUGAAGACUGGAGUAUUGAUGCUGAAAAUUCAGCUUUGCAUCACAGAAAUUUUUAAAUAUAUUAAAAUAUAUUAAAAUAGAAAACCAUUAUUUUAAAUGGUAAUAAUAAUUUACAAUCUUACUGUUUUUCUGUAUUUUUGGUGAAAUAACUGCAGCCUUGAUGAACAGAAGAGACUUUUUUAAAACACAUUAAAAAUCUUACUGAUUCCAAACUUUUGAACAGAAGUGUAUCAGUUUUCAUUUUAAUGAAUUAAUUAUUGAUUUCCUCUUUAUUGGCUGCUACUAGUCCUCCUUAAUCAAUUAAGAGUUUUGCACUUCAGGUUUUAAGUAUCGGUAGCUCUUCAAGCGAUAUUACCUUGGUUCUUUUCUACUGCUAGCUAGCAAAGAAAUGAAUGUGUUGUUACUGCAUGUAGCAUAUGGUGCUGCGCUUUCUGACAGUCCAAUGAUGCACACUACUCAAAAUACAGCUGCCCCAGGCUCACCGUGUGGGUGGAUGAAAUUUGGAUAUGUCAACUGUUAAAAUAACAAGAUACAAUUUAAAUGGCUUAGUUUUAGGUGGCAUAGCAGCCAUUUUACUCUCAAGUGUUUUAAAGUGAGAUGAUUAAAUAAAGUGAGAAGUCUUGUUGUUAGGAGAUUCACUGAACAGUCACACGGUAAAGCUAAAUGCUCGCUUUUACUAGUGAAAAAUUGGACCCAAAUUUUUAACUUUUUGAGUUGCUAUUGCAACAUAAAUAUUAGUUUAUGCCACUAGUCUUCUGUAGAUAAUCAUUUACUUAAUAGUGCUGGCAUAAUAACAAGAAGCGUUCUUUCAAAUUAUGACCAUUAUUUAUGUCAGUGAUACUGAAGUUUGUGUAUUUGUUGUUUUGGCAAAGCAGAUUUUUUGGGCAGUUUCUUUGUGGAGUACUGAUAUCCUGAGCAUGUUAAAUCACAUAUGAAAUAUACUCCUUAAUGGUGAUUUUGUAAAUAAAUAAAUGCAUAUAUUGAAGCUGA